rnacentral:rRNA from 1 species
AGUGAACGCUGGCGGCAGGCCUAACACAUGCAAGUCGAACGGCAGCACAGUAAGCGUUUGCCUCUACGGGUGGCGAGUGGCGGGUGGGUGAGGCAUAGAUCGGAAUCUUCUUUUUCGUGGGGGAUAACGUAGGGCAACAUAUGCUACUAGCGCAUACGAUCUACGGGUGAAAGCAGGGGAUAUUCGGACUCUGCCUGUUACAUUGAGACGAGGUCGGACUAGCUAGUCGGCGGGGUAAAGUCCCACCAUGGCAACGAUCCGUUGCGGGUCCGAGCGGAGGAUCAGCCACACUGAACCUGAAACACGGCCCAGACUCCUACGGGAGGCAGCAGUGGGAAAUAUUGGACAAGGGGCGCAAGCCUGAUCCAGCCAUACCGCGUGGGUGAAGAAGGCCUUCGGUUUGUAAAGCCCUUUUGUUGGGAAAGAAAAGCAGCAAGUUAAUACCGCGCUGUUCGGACGGUACCCAAAAGAUAAGCACCGGCUAACAUCGU